rnacentral:rRNA from 1 species
AGAAGCCUGAACCAGCCAACUCGCGUGAAGGAUGAAGGUCUUACUGCUUGUAAACUCCUUUUGUCAGGGAAUAAAGGGCGGUACGUGUGCCGUUUGGACUGCCCUGUACGAAUACGGAUCGCCUAACUCCUAGCCAGCAGCCGCGGUAAUA